UAGGGAAAACACUGAGUUGGAUCCU
rnacentral:piRNA from 1 species